rnacentral:rRNA from 1 species
UUAUUGGAGAGUUUGAUCCUGGCUCAGGACGAACGCUGGCGGCGUGCCUAAUACAUGCAAGUCGAGCGAGUCUCUUCGGAGGCUAGCGGCGGACGGGUGAGUAACACGUAGGCAACCUGCCUCUCAGACUGGGAUAACAUAGGGAAACUUAUGCUAAUACUGGAUAGGUUUUUGGAUCGCAU